rnacentral:rRNA from 1 species
GGGGGGGGGGGGGGGGGGGGGGGGGGGGGGCAGGGGGGGCGGGGAGGGCGGGCUUGCAGGGGGGUGGGGGGGCGAGCGGGUGGGUGACGCGGGGGUGAUCUGCCCCUGGCGUUGGGGUAGGCCUGGGGAGCUGGGGCGAGUCCUGGGUAGGCGCAUGCGGGAGGUGGUGUGGUGGACCGCUUCUUUUCGGUCCGGGGGUCGCGCGCGGCCUAUCAGCGGGUUGGUGGGGUCAUGGCCUCCCACGGCGUCGACGGGUAGCCGGCCUGAGAGGGUGGACGGCCACAUUGGGACUGCGAUACGGCCCAGACUCCGACGGGAGGCAGCAGUGGGGAAUAGUGCACAAUGGGCGCAAGACUGAUGCAGCGACGCCGCGUGGGGGAUGACGGCCUUCGGGUUGUAAACUCCUUUCAGCCAUGACGAAGCCCUUGUGGUGACGGUAGUGGUAGAAGAAGCACCGGCUAACUACGUG